rnacentral:sRNA from 1 species
UGCAUCAAUAUGCUUUUUUUUUCAAGGCGUGAUUGUUUUACAUUGUAUUUUUUUCAGCAGGAGAGAAGGAACUUUGAAAUUUGAUAACUAAAAAAUGUUAAAUACUGUAAACUAACUUUUAUUCGGACAUUAUUUCGCGAGUUACAAACUAGUUCGCGACGACUACUUUUUGCGAGUAAGCCUUAUAAAGAUAUGUGUUGUUAUAACAGCCAUACAACAAGGGCUGGUUCGCAACGAGAAAUAUUCGAGACGACAAUUCUCUCGCGUAGCUCGCAAAGAUUUCUCGCUCGCGAAUGAAAGUAGGUUUACAGUAUAUGACACUAUUGUUAUAUGAAUGCAAAUUUUAAUUGAGCCAGAGCAUUUUUUUUUUUUUGGAAAGAUAAUGUUUCCUAAAUUGUUUGUAUAACUUGUUUCAUUUUUAGUCUUAUUUACUUCUUCAAUGUUUACUUCGUAUAUCAUUCUUCAAUAUAAUAUGAUUUAUGUAC